GAUGAACGCUGACAGAAUGCUUAACACAUCAGCAAUGGAUUGGUGGCGGACGGGAGAGUAACGCGUAAAGAACUUGCCUCACAGCUAGGGACAACAUUUGGAAACGAAUGCUAAUACCUAAUACUGUGAGAGAGCUUUGCGUCCCAUUAGCUAGUUGGAGAGGUAACGGCUCACCAAGGCGAUGAUGGGUAGCCGGCCUGAGAGGGUGAUCGGGCACAAGGGGAAUGGGGACCCGCCCUGACUCCUACGGGAGGGAGGAGUUGGGAAUAUUGGAGAAUGGACCAAAGUCUGAUCCAGCAAUUCUGUGUGCACGAUGAAGUUUUCGGAAUGUAAAGUGCUUUCAGUUGGGAAGCGGUACCAACAGAAGAAGUGACGGCUAAAUACGUGCCAGCAGCCGCGGUAAUUC
rnacentral:rRNA from 1 species